UGGGGAAUUUUGGACAAUGGGCGCAAGCCUGAUCCAGCCAUGCCGCGUGCGGGAAGAAGGCCUUCGGGUUGUAAACCGCUUUUGUCAGGGAAGAAAUCUCUGAGUUAAUACCUCGGGAGGAUGACGGUACCUGAAGAAUAAGCACCGGCUAACUACGUGCCAGCAGCCGCGGUAAUACGUAGGGUGCAAGCGUUAAUCGGAAUUACUGGGCGUAAAGCGUGCGCAGGCGGUUUUGUAAGACAGAGGUGAAAUCCCCGGGCUCAACCUGGGAACUGCCUUUGUGACUGCAAGGCUUGAGUGCGGCAGAGGGGGAUGGAAUUCCGCGUGUAGCAGUGAAAUGCGUAGAUAUGCGGAGGAAACACCGAUGGCGAAGGCAAUCCCCCUGGGGCCUGCACUGACGCUCAUGCACGAAAGCGUGGGGAGCAAACAGGAUUAGAUA
rnacentral:rRNA from 1 species